UACGUAGGUGGCAAGCGUUGUCCGGAAUUAUUGGGCGUAAAGCGCGCGCAGGCGGUCCUUUAAGUCUGAUGUGAAAGCCCACGGCUCAACCGUGGAGGGUCAUUGGAAACUGGGGGACUUGAGUGCGGCAGAGGAGACUGGAAUUCCUGGUGUAGCAGUGAAAUGCGUAGAUAUCAGGAGGAACACCGAUGGCGAAGGCAGGUCUCUGGGCUGACACUGACGCUCAUGCACGAAAGCGUGGGGAGCAAACAGG
rnacentral:rRNA from 1 species